rnacentral:rRNA from 1 species
GAUGAACGCUGGCGGCGUGCCUAAUACAUGCAAGUCGAGCGAAUGGAUUAAGAGCUUGCUCUUAUGAAGUUAGCGGCGGACGGGUGAGUAACACGUGGGUAACCUGCCCAUAAGACUGGGAUAACUCCGGGAAACCGGGGCUAAUACCGGAUAACAUUUUGAACCGCAUGGUUCGAAAUUGAAAGGCGGCUUCGGCUGUCACUUAUGGAUGGACCCGCGUCGCAUUAGCUAGUGUGCGAGGUAACGGGUCACCAAGGCAACGAUGCGUAGCCGACCUGAGAGGGUGAUCGGCCACACGGGGACUGAGACACGGCCCAGACUCCUACGGGAGGCAGCAGUAGGGAAUCUUCCGCAAUGGACGAAAGUCUGACGGAGCAACGCCGCGUGAGUGAUGAAGGCUUUCGGGUCGUAAAACUCUGUUGUUAGGGAAGAACAAGUGCUAGUUGAAUAAGCUGGCACCUUGACGGUACCUAACCAGAAAGCCACGGCUAACUACGUGCCAGCAGCCGCAGUAA